AGGAACAAGAAAACCGAGAGAGAAUUUACCAUAACGCACUCAAAGUUUUUAUGUUUGAUUUUCAGUUCAAUGGACAACAGUUAUGUGUGGAUGCUGCCAGAGAGGAUGGAUCACUAGGGAGACUGGUAAAUGACGACGAAGUGAACCCAAACAGCAAAAUUAAAGUUACAAGAGUGGAUGGAAGACCCCAUCUGUGUUUAUUCGCAAUCAAAGAUAUUGGUUCAGGGGAAGAAAUCACUUAUAACUAUGGUAAUUCGGAUUGGCCAUGGAGAAGCAAGGUAGUUAUAUAAAGUUUAUAUAAAGUUAUCUUAAGUAGAAAUAGUAGUAUAGAGUGGUUAAAGGGGUCAUAUAAUGGUAUGUUUUUUCCAGUCAGAUUUGAGCCGUUCGACCUAGUGACAUCACUUUAUCGGACGCCACUCUCACGAUUGAUAAUUGACAAGAUGAGACUUAUUUAGACUUGACUAUUUCAACUUGUUCAGUCCUAUUCAAAAUGUUAGAAACUGACAAGUAAACAGAUUUCUGUUGACCUUAUUUAUCAAUAUAAACUAAUAUGAGGUAUAUCUUGAAGUGUCUAAACUCAUAGGUCCUGUGUAAUCCUCACCAUGUAAGGUUCAGACAUUAGCAGGUCUGUUAGUUUUGUGCAUUAGAUAUGAACUCAUGAGAAUGAUAUUAAGUAGUAGUAUUGAGACGCACGGUCCUGUGUAACCAUUAAGGUACAAACUCUCGAUGACUUUUCGUCUCUUGAUUAGUUUAGACUUCCAAAGAGAUGCCAUGUCAGGCUGCUGAUGUGGACAAAUGCAGUUCCUUUGCAGUCAUUCCAAAGACUUCCAAAGAGAAGCCAUGUCAGGCUGCUGAUGUGGACAAAUGCAGUUCCUUUGCAGUCAUUCCAAAGACUUCCAAAGAGAUGCCAUGUCAGGCUGCUGAUGUGGACAAAUGCAGUUCCUUUGCAGUCAUUCCAAAGACUUCCAAAGAGAUGCCAUGUCAGGCUGCUGAUGUGGACAAAUGCAGUUCCUUUGCAGUCAUUCCAAAGACUUCCAAAGAGAAGCCAUGUCAGGCUGCUGAUGUGGACAAAUGCAGUUCCUUUGCAGUCAUUCCAAAGACUUCCAAAGAGAUGCCAUGUCAGGCUGCUGAUGUGGACAAAUGCAGUUCCUUUGCAGUCAUUCCAAAGACUUCCAAAGAGAUGCCAUGUCAGGCUGCUGAUGUGGACAAAUGCAGUUCCUUUGCAGUCAUUCCAAAGACUUCCAAAGAGAUGCCGUGUCAGGCUGCUGAUGUGGACAAAUGCAGUUCCUUUGCAGUCAUUCCAAAGACUUCCAAAGAGAUGCCGUGUCAGGCUGCUGAUGUGGACAAAUGCAGUUCCUUUGCAGUCAUUCCAAAGACUUCCAAAGAGAAGCCAUGUCAGGCUGCUGAUGUGGACAAAUGCAGUUCCUUUGCAGUCAUUCCAAAGGACUGUGUUCAUGAUCUUGUCCCUGAAGAAAUGUCAAGUUUAGAAAAAUGUGUCACAUGUGGCGGA
ensembl:lncRNA